rnacentral:rRNA from 1 species
GUGCCAGCCGCCGCGGUAAAACGUAGGACACAAGCGUUAUCCGGAAUUACUGGGCGUAAAGGGCGUGCAGGCGGUUGGGUAAGUUAGGCGUGAAAGACUUCGGCUAAACCGGGGGAGGUCGUCUGAUACUGCUCAACUUGAGUAUGGUAGAGGCGUGUAGAAUUCCGGGUGUAGUGGUGAAAUGCGUAGAGAUCCGGAGGAAUACCAGUGGCGAAGGCGGCACGCUGGGCCAUUACUGACGCUAAGACGCGAAAGCAUGGGUAGCGAACGGGAUUAGAAACCCCCGUAGUCC